UACGGAGGGGGCUAGCGUUGUUCGGAAUUACUGGGCGUAAAGCGCCCGUAGGCGGCAUUGCAAGUCGGAUGUGAAAUCCCUCGGCUCAACCAAGGAAGUGCAUCCGAAACUGCUGUGCUUGAGUACUUAAGAGGAUCGCGGAAUUCCCGGUGUAGAGGUGAAAUUCGUAGAUAUCGGGAGGAACACCAGUGGCGAAGGCGGCGAUCUGGGAAGAUACUGACGCUGAGGUGCGAAAGCGUGGGGAGCAAACAGG
rnacentral:rRNA from 1 species